rnacentral:lncRNA from 1 species
AUUGUCAGCUCCAAAAUAAGACUCAUUUUCUAGCAUAUUGAAAUAAUUAGAAGUACCUUUUCUGCUUUUUUUGAAAAGAGAAGACAAUGAACAUAUGAAGCACAGCUAAGUCACUGCGAUGGCUCUCAGGAUCCCUGCUCCUUGUGGGGCACACCUCCUCCCAGACGAGUGAUCAAACAGGAAGGUCUGGGGGAAGCUGGCCACAAUAUUUUAAGGACAUUGCAGCAGCCCCUGCACCCCCUGCUGGAGAGACCUUCAUGGGAAGAAUGGAAACCUCCUGCUAACCACCAGCAUGAGCCAUGUUGGAAGUGAAUCCUCCUGACCCAGUGAGAUGAACCUUGAUUGAUGUUGUUUCUCAGUUUUGAAGUCUAAAAUAAAAUAGAAAUGGCCCAAAGGAAA